AGCGAACGCUGGCGGCAGGCCUAACACAUGCAAGUCGAACGGAUCCUUCGGGAUUAGUGGCGGACGGGUGAGUAACACGUGGGAACGUGCCCUUUGGUUCGGAACAACUCAGGGAAACUUGAGCUAAUACCGGAUGAGCCCUUCGGGGGAAAGAGUUAUCGCCAUUGGAGCGGCCCGCGUCUGACUAGCUAGUUGGUGAGGUAAAGGCUCACCAAGGCGACGAUCAGUAGCUGGUCUGAGAGGAUGAUCAGCCACAUUGGGACUGAGACACGGCCCAAACUCCUACGGGAGGCAGCAGUGGGGAAUCUUGCGCAAUGGGCGAAAGCCUGACGCAGCCAUGCCGCGUGAAUGAUGAAGGUCUUAGGAUUGUAAAAUUCUUUCACCGGGGACGAUAAUGACGGUACCCGGAGAAGAAGCCCCGGCUAACUUCGUGCCAGCAGCCGCGGUAAUAC
rnacentral:rRNA from 1 species